UUUGUCUCACCUUGGACCUGUAUGUGGGCCACGGCGUCGAGCGAGUCCUCCCUGUUCUCCGCCCGGCACCUGUACGUCCCCUCGUCCUCCUCCUGCAGGCCAUGGAUGUGCAGGCUGCUGCUGCUGGUGCCGCAGAACAGUGUGUCCAGGUCCCUGAGGAAAGGCAGAAAGGUACGGUAAGCAAGUGAGUUUUGUAUCUAAUUGCUGUUUGUCACAAUUUUUCUUUUUUUACAGUAGAGGAAGCAGCUCAAGGGAAAAAAUAAAUACCAACAAAAACAGUCCAUUACAAUAAGCCUGCUGCAACACUUACCUUAUAUACAGCAAUAACUGCAACACACACACACACACACACAC